UACAGAGGUCCCGAGCGUUGUUCGGAUUCACUGGGCGUAAAGGGUGCGUAGGUGGUGAGGUAAGUCGGAUGUGAAAUCUCCGGGCUCAACCCGGAAAUGGCAUUGGAAACUACCUUGCUGGAGGGUUUGAGGGGGGAUUGGAAUACUUGGUGUAGCAGUGAAAUGCGUAGAUAUCAAGUGGAACACCAGUGGCGAAGGCGGGUCUCUGGGCCGAUACUGACGCUGAGGAGCGAAAGCGUGGGGAGCGAACAGG
rnacentral:rRNA from 1 species